GAUGAACGCUAGCGGCAGGCCUAACACAUGCAAGUCGAGGGAGAGGUUAUCUUCGGGUAACCAAAACCGGCGCACGGGUGCGUAACGCGUAUACAAUCUGCCUUUCACAUAGGGAUAGCCCGAAGAAAUUUGGAUUAAUACCUAAUGGUAUAUAAGAGCGGCAUCGUUUUUAUAUUAAAGCUACGGUGGUGAAAGAUGAGUAUGCGUUCUAUUAGCUAGUUGGAGAGGUAACGGCUCCCCAAGGCGACGAUAGAUAGGGGUUCUGCGGAGGGGAUGUCCCCCACACUGGUACUGAGAUACGGACCAGACUCCUACGGGAGGCAGCAGUGAGGAAUAUUGGACAAUGGUCGGAAGACUGAUCCAGCCCAUGCCGCGUGCAGGAUGAAGGUCCUAUGGAUUGUAAACUGCUUUUGUAAGGGAAGAAUAAGGAGUACGUGUACUUUGAUGACGGUACCUUACGAAUAAGCAUCGGCUAACUCCGUGCCAGCAGCCGCGGUAAUACGGAAGGAUGCGAGCGUUAUCUGGUAUCAUUGGGUUUAAAGGGUCCGUAGGCGGGCUGAUACUCAGA
rnacentral:rRNA from 1 species